GUCUCUGGAAUCCUCUAAACCCUAGUUCUAUAAAUACCCAGGACGCGAGUUCCUUCUUCCUCCUACCCAGAACUCGAACCCCUUCGUCCGCAAAGAGAAAUCGAAGCGAGGGUUUGAGAGCUCGAGACCCCUGAAACGAUGAGGGCGAAGUGGAAGAAGAAGCGCAUGAGGAGGCUAAAGAGGAAGCGCCGAAAGAUGAGGCAGAGGUCCAAGUAGAUGGGCAAAUGGAAGGACAACCUCUAUGGAUUAACCUCUCUUCAUUGGAUGUCAUGUUGGGAUCUAAGAUCUCAAUCUCCCAGCUUACGUUGGGAGCUUGUUCAUGGAGGGAUGGUGUUCUUGGGGGGAAAAGCCUUGUCAUUUGUAUUUUUCAGUGCUUAAUUUGCAACUUCAGGGAUUAGUUAAAUAUGCUUUGUCGAGCAAGAUAACUUAUGUUUUGUUUGACUUCUCUAGGGCCGAGUAAGACACCUUUAUGUUUGGAGCUAUUGCUAUGAAAAUGUCUCUUAAGAUGCUUAUGUUUGCAGCAGGUCUAAUUUUUGCUU